rnacentral:rRNA from 1 species
GACGAACGCUGGCGGCGUGCUUAACACAUGCAAGUCGAGCGGUAAGGGCCCUUUCGGGGGUACACGAGCGGCGAACGGGUGAGUAACACGUGGGUGACCUGCCCUUAGCUCUGGGAUAAGCCUGGGAAACUGGGUCUAAUACCGGAUAUGACUCCAUAACGCAUGUUGUGGGGUGGAAAGCCUUGUGCGGCUAGGGAUGGGGCCCGCGGCCUAUCAGCUUGUUGGUGGGGUGAUGGCCUACCAAGGCGACGACGGGUAGCCGGCCUGAGAGGGCGACCGGCCACACUGGGACUGAGACACGGCCAGACUCCUACGGGAGGCAGCAGGUGGGGAAUCUUGCGCAAUGGGCG